rnacentral:rRNA from 1 species
AGCGGAGAAAUUCCAAUCGAACCUGGAGAUAGCUGGUUCUCUCCGAAAUAGCUUUAGGGCUAGCCUCAAGUGAUGAUUAUUGGAGGUAGAGCACUGUUUGGACGAGGGGCCCCUCUCGGGUUACCGAAUUCAGACAAACUCCGAAUGCCAAUUAAUUUAACUUGGGAGUCAGAACAUGGGUGAUAAGGUCCGUGUUCGAAAGGGAAACAGCCCAGACCACCAGCUAAGGUCCCAAAAUAUAUGUUAAGUGGAAAAGGAUGUGGCGUUGCCCAGACAACUAGGAUGUUGGCUUAGAAGCAGCCAUCAUUUAAAGAGUGCGUAAUAGCUCACUAGUCGAGUGACACUGCGCCGAAAAUGUACCGGGGCUAAACAUAUUACCGAAGCUGUGGAUUGUCCUUUGGACAAUGGUAGGAGAGCGUUCUAAGGGCGUUGAAGCAUGAUCGUAAGGACAUGUGGAGCGCUUAGAAGUGAGAAUGCCGGUGUGAGUAGCGAAAGACGGGUGAGAAUCCCGUCCACCGAUUGACUAAGGUUUCCAGAGGAAGGCUCGUCCGCUCUGGGUUAGUCGGGUCC